UCGUCUGUAUUUCCGCCGGCGCGAAACGAGCGUAGCUUCCUUGUCGUGUGGCCUCAGUCCUUCGCCGUCCCUCGCCGUCCUUCGCCAUCGCACGCCACCGCACCCCAUCUCUCGAAAUCUGCAGACAUCUUGAUUUUUCCCACGCUGUCUGUCAGGUCUCCGCCGCCACUCGACGCCAGGGCGCCGGGCCUUGUGGGCUGUGCUGCACCUCGGACGGCUUCGCACCAGCCAGCGCCCUCUCUCUCCUGCAGCACUCUGAUCUGCACCCCCUGAGGGGCUUCCACUGUCCGCGGGGUGAGAAUGCCCCUGGGAGUGUCACAUGACUGCCGCCCCAUGUGUGUGAGAGGCGUCCUCUGGGAGAGCAUGGAUCCUGAGGUCCCAGGAUUGUCAGCUGACCUCUGUCCUGUGUGCCCAGUGGCCCCAGGUGACGUGUCUUCAAGAAGAGGCUGAGCUGCGGUGCUUGUAAGGCAGGGUCUCAUUCUGUCACCCAGGCUGGAGUGCAGUGGUGCAAUGAUGGCUCACUGCAGCCUCGACCUGGGCUCAAGUGAUCCUCCACCUCAGCUUCCUGAGUAGCUGGGACCACAGAGUCAUGUGCUGUUCCUGGGGCUUGGAUGAUGUAGGGGAAGCAAGGUGAAAGUGGUAUCCCGUGGUUCCACGUUCUGUCCUGCUGUGGGGCUGUCCCUCACAUGCUUUCAGUGGCUGUUGCAGAGGAAGAGCCUCCGGAAAUCUGCGUCUCAGCCUUAGAUCCAAGGACAGUCCAAGGAAGUCCUAAGACCAUGGAGUUGGUGAUCUGGGAUCUGGGUUUGCUGAUAUUUCUCACCGUGAAUCUCUUGGUGGUGUUUGUGGGCACGAGAGGGGCAGAGAAUGGAGAGUGAGGCUACCACAUGAAGCGUCACCAGAGCUGCUCCCUGCUGCCUGCUCAGAGCACCCCGGAUCCACUGUUCAAUCUGCACAAGAUUCGGGGUCCAGACAUGGGAGACUUCAGCUGCCUCAGAGGACCGUGGACAGGGAAGGCCAGCCUCGCAUCCCUCUGUCCAUGCCUGGAAUGACUUUAAUAACCAAGAGUUUUAUUUUUGAAUUUGUAGCUGUCGUUCACUUUUUACCCACCCAUUCAAUAAACCU
rnacentral:lncRNA from 1 species